GUGGGGAAUCUUGCGCAAUGGGCGAAAGCCUGACGCAGCCAUGCCGCGUGAAUGAUGAAGGUCUUAGGAUUGUAAAAUUCUUUCACCGGGGACGAUAAUGACGGUACCCGGAGAAGAAGCUCCGGCUAACUUCGUGCCAGCAGCCGCGGUAAUACGAAGGGGGCUAGCGUUGCUCGGAAUUACUGGGCGUAAAGGGCGCGUAGGCGGACAGCUUAGUCAGAGGUGAAAGCCCAGGGCUCAACCUUGGAAUUGCCUUUGAUACUGGCUGUCUUGAGUUUGGGAGAGGUGAGUGGAACUCCGAGUGUAGAGGUGAAAUUCGUAGAUAUUCGGAGGAACACCAGUGGCGAAGGCGGCUCACUGGCUCGAUACUGACGCUGAGGUGCGAAAGCGUGGGGAGCAAACAGGAUUAGAUACCCGGGUAGUCC
rnacentral:rRNA from 1 species